rnacentral:tRNA from 1 species
UAUAUAUAUAAAUUUGAAUUUUUAAUAAGGGCGGAUGUAGCCAAGUGGAUUAAGGCAAUGGAUUUGUGAAUCCACCAUGCGCG